ensembl:lncRNA
CCAGUUUCAGUUUGGUCGUAUUUGCUGAGCUGCUGUGGUGCGUUCAGGGGCGGUGCGUUCACAGUGAUAUGUGAUGAGGAUGAGGAAAAUGUGAAGGUGCACCUUCGCUUUCCUCAGCCACAAAUCAUUAGCUGAGUGAAUGCUGAACCAGUGUAUGAUUGAUUGGCGUGUGUCCUUUUGUAACACCAGUCCGCCCUCUCAGCAGAUGAAACCUCAGGGGUCGCUGUACCUCUUUUGGCAUUGGUGCUGAAAAUAAAGUCCCCGAAUUGGCCCUUCGGAGGGUGUGAGGUGCUCACAAGGUUUCUUGAAGGCUGACUUAAAAAAGUGUUUUUGUUUGUGAACUUGUGACAUGUGUAGUAGUUUCAUAUAUUACUGUGAAACUCCUUGUAAACCUGAAAAUAAAUUGGGAUUCUUCGCUAAAUUAGGAGGCGAUGCUGUUUGAUUUUCUUUGAUGGUUAGUGUUUUCCUGGAUUACUGCAAUUCUUCAUUUCAAAUACAACAACACAAAACACAAACAUUUUAAUAUAUUAGCUGACUGCUGAUACAACACAGAAUCCCCUUCAAAAUGAAAGGUCUUUAAACUGUACCCCAUCCAACUUUGGCAAGGGGACCUUCAGUUACUGUGAUCCUCCUUUCUAAACUGCCUUCUGAUUAGAUACCCAUCACAACAGCUUCUGUUUCUUUACUUUUUUUUUUUUUUUUUUAAUAAAAGGCUGCUGUGUGGUCAAUCUAAUGAACAUCAAGUCCACUUGUGUCAUAUAUGUGAUAUGUUUUACAUUUUUAUUCCUUUAUUGCUGAUGGUGCAGUGGUGUGGUUGUUAGAACUCCCGUUUCAAAAAGGUCUGGCUUUGAAGCUUCUCACCAGUUGGAUCCUUUAUGUGUAGCAUUUGCAUUUUGUCCCUGCACCUGCAUAGCUUCCCUCCAGUUCCUCCAUAUUCCUUCCCACAGUCCAACAGCAUGCAUAUUCGGUUGUUUAUUUAUGCAAAGAACAUUGAAUUAAAGCUUAAUAACAUGUACUAUAUAAGUGAAUUUACAUGUGUUGUUCAGACUGCACACAGACCUGAUCAUCUCAAAGUGAGCAUCAGUUUUAAACCCGACACUUUAGCCAAAUUGCAGAAGACAAGAUGUGAAAG